rnacentral:rRNA from 1 species
UACGAAGGGGGCUAGCGUUGCUCGGAAUCACUGGGCGUAAAGCGCACGUAGGCGGCUUGUUAAGUCAGGGGUGAAAUCCUGGAGCUCAACUCCAGAACUGCCUUUGAUACUGAUGAGCUUGAGUUCGGGAGAGGUGAGUGGAACUGCGAGUGUAGAGGUGAAAUUCGUAGAUAUUCGCAAGAACACCAGUGGCGAAGGCGGCUCACUGGACCGGUACUGACGCUGAUGCGCGAAAGCGUGGGGAGCAAACGGG